UAGGGAAUCUUCCACAAUGGACGCAAGUCUGAUGGAGCAACGCCGCGUGAGUGAAGAAGGUUUUCGGAUCGUAAAGCUCUGUUGUUGGUGAAGAAGGAUAGAGGUAGUAACUGGCCUUUAUUUGACGGUAAUCAACCAGAAAGUCACGGCUAACUACGUGCCAGCAGCCGCGGUAAUACGUAGGUGGCAAGCGUUGUCCGGAUUUAUUGGGCGUAAAGCGAGCGCAGGCGGAAGAAUAAGUCUGAUGUGAAAGCCCUCGGCUUAACCGAGGAACUGCAUCGGAAACUGUUUUUCUUGAGUGCAGAAGAGGAGAGUGGAAUUCCAUGUGUAGCGGUGGAAUGCGUAGAUAUAUGGAAGAACACCAGUGGCGAAGGCGACUCUCUGGUCUGCAACUGACGCUGAGGAUCGAAAGCAUGGGUAGCGAACAGG
rnacentral:rRNA from 1 species